rnacentral:rRNA from 1 species
UGGGGAAUAUUGCACAAUGGGGGAAACCCUGAUGCAGCGACGCCGCGUGAGCGAAGAAGGCUUUCGAGUCGUAAAGCUCUGUCCUAUGAGAAGAUAAUGACGGUAUCAUAGGAGGAAGCCCUGGCUAAAUACGUGCCAGCAGCCGCGGUAAUACGUAUGGGGCGAGCGUUGUCCGGAAUUAUUGGGCGUAAAGGGUACGUAGGCGGUUUUUUAAGUCAGGUGUCAAAGCGUGGAGCUUAACUCCAUUAAGCACUUGAAACUGAAAGACUUGAGUGAAGGAGAGGAAAGUGGAAUUCCUAGUGUAGCGAUGAAAUGCGUAGAUAUUAAAAAGAAUACCGGUGGCGAAGGCGACUUACUGGGCUCAUUCUGACGCUGAGGAACGAAAGCGUGGGUAGCAAACAGG